rnacentral:rRNA from 1 species
CCCUUAGACGUUCUGGGCCGCACGCGCGCUACACUGACGAAGGCAACGAGCUUUCCUUUACCGAAAGGUACGGGUAAUCUUUUGAAACUUCGUCGUGCUGGGGAUAGAUCCUUGCAAUUUUUGAUCUUAAACGAGGAAUUCCUAGUAAGCGCAAGUCAUCAACUUGCGUUGAUUACGUCCCUGCCCUUUGUACACACCGCCCGUCGCUACUACUGAUUGGAUGUUUAAGCGAGGUUCUCGAACUGCUAGCGACUUAGCUUCGGUGAGGUCGCAGUGUGGGAAGUGAACCUAGCUUUGGUGUCUAGAGGAAGUAAAAGUCGUAACA